UUGACCUCAAAUCAGGUAGGACUGCCCGCUGAACUUAAGCAUAUCAAUAAGCGGAGGAAAAGAAACUAACAAGGAUUCCCCUAGUAACUGCGAGUGAAGCGGGAAAAGCUCAAUUAAAAUCUGGCGGUCUGCGCCGUCGAGUGUAUCUGGAGAGCGCUAUCCGCGUCGACCGUGUACAGUC
rnacentral:rRNA from 1 species